rnacentral:lncRNA from 1 species
UUGGAUGAAUGAAAAGGACAUUCAUGAGAGACUCCAGAAGAACCAGGCCUUUUCAGUGAAAGUAAACAACUUACGGAAUAAAGACGAGUGUAGAUCUGCUCUGACAAUGAUUAAAGGGUGAACAGAGAAUGCUGAAAGCCACAAGAAAAGGCAUUCACCAAAGAGAACAGAGCCAGGAGAGAGCCUCUGGGAAAGAGAAGGCUUUAGAGACAUCGUUUUA